GGCGGGGACGCUCUGCGGCCCGCGGCCGGGCCCGCCCAAGCCUUAUAGGCGCGGCGCGCGCGGGGGCCGGGCCAAAGCGGCGGCGGCGGAAACGCGUCCCGGAUGGGGACGAGCUCCGGGCGCAGCCUAAAUUUAGCCGCGGUAUAUAAGCCGGCGGGCGGCGGCGGCCGUGGCCACUGCGGCCGCCAGGGCUCUGCGCAGCCUGGCCGGCCCCCUGCGCACGGCCAGGCCGCGCCCCCCUCCUGGGCCCGCCCCCGCCUGUCUCCCCGGCGACGCGUCAACACGCGCUCCACAACAGCACCGUGACACCCAGGGAUCCCCGGGGCGCCCCGUGGGCUCCCGCCUGCUCGAGGACCUGGAGCGGAGGCGGCAUCCGGGGACCCGGGACUCUGAGUGGAGCACUGGGUCCCCCGGCCGCCAGGGAUCCCUGAUGUAUGGGGAGAAUGGUCCCCAACGCCUCAGAGGGGUUCCCAGAAUCCCUGGUGAUGGAGGAGAUUGCCCCAUAGUUUCAAAGGGGUUUCUAGAAUCCUAGAUCGAUGGGUGGGGUUCCCGGGACCCCUGAUGCAGGGGGGAUUGGGGUCCCCAGGAUUCAUAAUGGGUGGGGAAACUUUCAUUUUCUCUCAUUUCAUCUCAUGUCAUCAAAACUCUUGUUUUCCGGGGGCCCGCUAAGCUAAGCCUGACCCACUGUUAUGCCCAUCGCUAUGUAAAAAACCUUGUGCGAUGCCCUUAACAAAUGUUAAGUCCUUGAGACCAGGGCUCUCUUAAGGAAGCCCUCCAGGGAAACUGAGGCCCAAGGGGCUCUGGGAGAGGCUUGCCGUCCUUUACUGACUUGCAGAAGUGUAGAAGCUGAAGACAAGGGUGACAGUCUCUCCUCCAAGACAGACCCAGCGCUGGGCGGGAGCAGGGGGUGGCUGCGGGGGACAGGGAACAAGCUUGUCCGGUGGGCAUGUUGAAUAUACCACCUGGGUUGCUCGCGGCACAGCCUUGCCAGCAAAGGACUGUCACUACCAUUGUUACUGUGUGCUGGCCCUGUGUAGGCCGGGAGAGCACAGGACCAAGAACCAGACAAAUCUGCCUGCUCUUGGGGGCUUUUCCUAGGGGGUAUAAAAUAAACAAGUAUAUUGGGGAGAUGAACCUUUUGGAAACAUAAAGCAGGGUGUGCAAGAUACAGCGCGGAGGGGACUAGGAAGCAAGUGAGUGAGUGGGGAGAGAGGGGAUGGUGAAAAGUUGAACCUCACCUCACCCAGUGCUAUUAUGAGUCAAGACCUGGAGAAAGGGGGAGCCACGUGAGUCCUAGAGGGAGAGCAUCUCAUGGUGUAACCCAGAGCUGGGAUCCAGCUUUGGUCUCGACUCCAGAGUCUGUGUUCUGGACCUGGAGGCAUCCAGGGUCUUCCUCUGUCCCGUGGCCAGAUGUUGACGGGUUCAGGAAGCUCUUGACCGGGACACCUUCUCUGGGGCCAGGAAGGCUUUGCCACGGACAGCAGCUGGACUACCACAGCCCAGGACCACUGCAUGGAGGUGGCCUUGGCACCACACAGGCAUCAAGGGGCCCCGCUGGGGUCCACAAUGCUGGACCCUCCCAGCUAGAAGGCACCUCAGAGGCGCAUCACCUCACCAUGAAUCACCCAACUGUGGGUUCAGCAAACGCACUGAUGAGCCCCAUUUGUCAGGCGCCGGGGAUCCGGGGGUGCUGGAGGGGGCAGGGGUCCUCCCUACAGCUUCCCUGGGCUUUGGGAAACUUCACCUGGAAUUCAGACGUGCCUCUUGCGGCUGCCACCGCAACGACGGAGAGUCAGCCUCAGCCACAGACUGCUGGCUGUGUGACCUUGGGCAAGUGGUUUUGCCUCUCUGGGCUUGCUUCUUCAUCUGUAAAACAGAUGAUACUGGUAGCUUACCCCACAGUGGUUCUGUGCGUGCGUGUGUGCGUGUGUGUAUGUAAGUGCUGGUGACAUCCCGUGAGCCCUCUACAGCUUUUGGUUAAAUGAGCCACCUGUAUACUUUUCUCACUACUUUCACCUGAACCUCUGUUUCCCCAUAGGAUAAUGAGGCAAAGAUGAAGGGAAUCGAAUUUGGUCCCCAGGCAUAUGAUUCUCUGGUCCUCCUCUCUGCCUCGGACGGCCCCUGUGGCUCCUUCCAGCGCAUUCUUCCUCCUUUCUUGGAUUCCUUGCAGGUCCCGGAAGGGACCAAGCCCGUGCUCCCCGCCAGGCCUUUGUACUUGCCGUGUCCUCUACCAAUCUCUGGAUGACGUCUGAUGUGGAGCCCCUUUUCAUUCGCUCAUUUGCCAGCUGUAUAUCUUUGUCAUUGAGAGACAGGGAGCCCCCCAAAGGCAGGGGCCUCCCUCGAUUCAUCUCUGUGUCUCCUAGGCCCAGCUGUGGACCUGGUGUUGAAACAAACAUGACGCGGGGAUGCCGGCCACCCACCGAGGACCUCCCAGGGCAGUGUGAGACACUUGGCAUGGCACCUGGUGAACAGAACCAGCCCCCGGAACCACCAACGAUUGGGAAGAACGUGGACUUCAGUUGCCCCUUUACCUGUGUGACCUUGGACAAGUCAUUGGACCUCUCCGUGCCCUCAGUGUCAUCGGGAGACAGGAGAUGGCACAUGUCAAGAACAUCAGCUGCCUGAUUAUGAACAUGAGUGAGCGAGCCAGAUGGGGGGAUCCCAGGCUGAGGGAGGGACCUGGUACUUGGGAGGAGGGCUCAGAGCAUGGCCCCUCUCAUUCUGCUAUCUAGGCCACACAUUUCGAUGGGAGUGGGUCCCGGUGGCAUCUCAGGUGACAAUGCCUUGGGAGAAAAAGUCAGGUCCCCAGGGUGGCCUCUUCCCAGUUCGGGGACAUACCCUCGGCUGAACUUCACAGCCUCUGAGCAGCCUGUCCCAUCACUUGCUAAGUUGGGGAGAAUGAGGUGUGUCUACAGAAGUUACAUGAUCAGGGGUGCCUGGGUGGCUCAGUGGGUUAAAGCCUCUGCCUUCGGCUCGGGUCAUGAUUCCAGGGUCCUGGUUU